UACGUAGGGUGCAAGCGUUAAUCGGAAUUACUGGGCGUAAAGCGUGCGCAGGCGGUUAUGCAAGACAGAUGUGAAAUCCCCGGGCUCAACCUGGGAACUGCAUUUGUGACUGCAUGGCUAGAGUACGGUAGAGGGGGAUGGAAUUCCGCGUGUAGCAGUGAAAUGCGUAGAUAUGCGGAGGAACACCGAUGGCGAAGGCAAUCCCCUGGACCUGUACUGACGCUGAGGAGCGAAAGCGUGGGGAGCAAACAGG
rnacentral:rRNA from 1 species